CCUGAACAUGCCUGACCUCGUCUGAACUUGGAAGCUAAGCAGG
rnacentral:rRNA from 1 species